rnacentral:lncRNA from 1 species
GCCUCAGCCUCCCGAGUAGCUGGGACUACAGGCACCUGCCAUCGUGCCUGGCUAAUUUUUGUAGUUUUAGUAAAGACGGAGUUUUACCAUCUUGGCCAGGCUGGUCUUGAACUCCUGACCUCAUGAUCCACCCGCCUCGGCCUCCCAAAGUGCUGGGAUUACAGGCAUGAACCACCAUGCCUGGCCAAGUUUAUGAACAAUGGUAAAAAUCCAUCCAGAUUAUCAUGACGAGGAAAGUUUAAUGUAACAAAGUUAUUUGAUUAUUUAUUCAACAUUUCAGGUGGACGCAUUCACAUUUUCUCUCCCCAACUCCCUCUACUUUCCUGCAUGUCCAUGUCUCUAAAAUCAUAAAGAGGAAGAGUUCAUUCUUGUAAGUUGAAAACACAUCUUUUCUCUGACCAAUACACUGUAGAGAAAGCUUAUUUCAAUCUUCAAAUGACUGAGCUCCAAAAAAGCUUCAUUAAAAAACUUUUAAAACAUCACAGAAUUAUACUUGAUUUUAUACUGCUAUUAAUUUACAAAAACAAAAAUGUCAGUUACUACUGAGUACAUGAAGUAUAAAGGACAGACAAUAUAAAGAUACACAUAACUUUCAUUAAGGCAAGUUUCUCUUAUGUAAAAAAAUAAGUAGAAGGAUUAUGUACAUAGCUUUCAAUAUCCAGUCACUAUAAUAGUUCAGAAAAAUAUUCUGCUGCCUUAGGCAUCACAAAAUUCCAUUAUCUAUACAACAUAAGAAAUGCCCAUGCUUGUUAGCUACUACUAAUAAACAAAAUAGAACUACUUAUAUACAUUUCACAAAACAAAUUCAGUAUUCAAAGUUUUUCUAAUCAUCAAAAUUUCCUUAAUGUAUUAAGGCACAGUAAUUAUCAAAUUCAUUAAAAACCUGAGAUAUUUAGUAUGUUUCUUUUUUUUUUUUUUUUUUUCUUUUUUUUUUCUUUUUUUUUUUUUUAUUAUACUCUCAGUUUUAGGGUACAUGUGCACAUUGUGCAGGUUAGUUACAUAUGUAUACAUGUGCCAUGCUGGUGCGCUGCACCCACUAAUGUGUCAUCUAGCAUUAGGUAUAUCUCCCAAUGCUAUCCCUCCCGCCUCCCCCGACCCCACCACAGUCCCCAGAGUGUGAUAUUCCCCUUCCUGUGUCCAUGUGAUCUCAUUGUUCAAUUCCCACCUAUGAGUGAGAAUAUGCGGUGUUUGGUUUUUUGUUCUUGCGAUAGUUUACUGAGAAUGAUGGUUUCCAAUUUCAUCCAUGUCCCUACAAAGGAUAUGAACUCAUCAUUUUUUAUGGCUGCAUAGUAUUCCAUGGUGUAUAUGUGCCACAUUUUCUUAAUCCAGACUAUCAUUGUUGGACAUUUGGGUUGGUUCCAAGUCUUUGCUAUUGUGAAUAGUGCCGCAAUAAACAUACGUGUGCAUGUGUCUUUAUAGCAGCAUGAUUUAUAGUCCUUUGGGUAUAUACCCAGUAAUGGGAUGGCUGGGUCAAAU